rnacentral:rRNA from 1 species
UACGGGGGGAGCAAGCGUUGUUCGGAUUUACUGGGCGUAAAGGGCGCGUAGGCGGUCGUGACAAGUCACUUGUGAAAUCUCCGGGCUUAACUCGGAACGGUCAAGUGAUACUGUCGGACUAGAGUACAGAAGGGGCAACUGGAAUUCUCGGUGUAGCGGUGAAAUGCGUAGAUAUCGAGAGGAACACCUGCGGCGAAGGCGGGUUGCUGGGCUGAUACUGACGCUGAGGCGCGAAAGCCAGGGGAGCAAAUGGG